AAAUGCAGCACAAUUGUUUAAAUAGCGCAAUCGAAAAUAUUGCAAAAGCUGAUCACUUCGGUAAUUGUACUAACUUGUGAGUUAAUUUUUCUUUAGUGCUCACACACGGACACACCAUAAGUGUUUGUGACAUUGCCAAAUUGUCACACAUUGAGUUAUUUUUGUUUGUUUAGCGCACAACAGGAAAAACACGCCUGCGUUGCGAAAAAAUAAAUAAAAAUAAAAAAUACAAUUUGCAUUUUAUUCAAUUUGUGGUACAUCCGCCUGAGCCUUCGUCACUCGAUCGCCACACUCAUUGUUCUGGUUAUUUACGAGUUUGUUAAGUGCGCAACCCGCUCCUUUCCCUUUUUUUUUUCUUCUUUUUUUUUUCUGCCCAUCGCCAAGCACAUCCUGUGACCCCAUUGGAACCCAAUGAAGCAGCAACCCAUGACCGGACAUGGCCGGCAAUUUUUGUUCGCCAGCAGAUAUGGAGUUCGAUCCCUAGAAGGAUAUGAGUAGCGGAAUAUCCUAUGAAAUCAGAUAACUAUAAGAAAGGAUUACAUCCAAUAAGCAGAGAGACUAAUCUAAAUGUUUAUAAUAAAUUUACAGAUCAGUUAAUAGUGCACCCAAACAAAGCUCUUAAGGACUUCCUCCUUUCACCUACCCAAAAAAGUAUUAUUUUUUUAUUUCUGAAGCCCGCCUGAUUUUCCCAUUCUGUUGACGGGGCUUUUUGUAAUUAUUUCAUUAAGAUUUGCUGCCAGACGAAUUUAAUUGGAUUUACAAAAUGCGUCGAAUGCGACCGGGGAAGGAUUCUCGUAUUCCGUAUGGAUCUGCUUGGUGUUCCGUUGAUAGCUUUUAGUUGGCGUGUCCUGAUCGACCUUGUUGCAUGCCAAUAUUAAUAACAACAAUGGCAAUAAAGCCCAUUACAGCCGGCACACAUUCGGGCCAUUAAUGAAAUACAUUGAUUUCUGUGUCCCCGUCGAAUUUAUGGCAACAGCAAGAAGUUAAGGGUAAUGUGCAAGGGUUUAAUUCCACUCCCAUCAAAUUCGCGGCGGCAUAUUCGGUGACAUGUUCAUGUCCUGCUAUUCCUGUUCGCCCCCACUUCGACAUGCCCACGUCUCAGUCACAGUUCCAUACUCAGUUUAAGUCCCAACCUUGCGUGUUGUCACGUUAUAAAAACCGAAACGAUCCCCUCAGCCCCCCCGUCUCCAGGACAUUUGUUGGUUCCGCUCGUUACCAGAAGCGCCAACUCAGCACGAAAUGACUGUGACUCCGGUUGUGAUGAGGACAACGUCAACGGUUUUGCACCGAAAAAAAUAGAAAAAACAAAUAUCACUUUUUCUAAUCAGUAUCUAAUUGCCAAUAUUGUAGAUUCGGUAGAAUAAUUGUUGUACAUUAUAAAAUGUUUUUAAUCGGAGCACGAGCUUCAAUCAUUUCAAUACGAGGAUCAUCUUUUGUUCGACAUUCAAUGCCUCGCGAAGUAAAUAACCUUUCUGACUUUAAGUUCACUCUAAACUUCUGAGUAGUGUGAACUUAAACUAAAUGUGGGAGUUUCGAAAGUUUCGUUCAACUUUUUGCGGUUGUAGAAUAAAAUUAAUAUAAGCAUUUGUGUGCUAGUUUUCACAAACAGUUUUCUAUCGCAUACUUAAUACUUAGGCGGUUGGUGUGC
ensembl:ncRNA lncRNA:CR46247 long non-coding RNA:CR46247